rnacentral:misc_RNA from 1 species
GUGAAUCAUCGAAUCUUUGAACGCACAUUGCGCCCUUUGGUAUUCCUUAGGGCAUGCCUGUUCGAGCGUCAUAAAACCCCCUCAAGCGCAGCUUGUUGUUGGGCGUUUGUCCCGCCCCCGGCCGGACUCGCCCCGAAUCCAUUGGCGGCCCCCGCAUUGGGCUAUCGAGCGCAGCAGAUUUGCGCCUCGGGCACAGAGCGCGGGCGACCACUGAGCAACCCCAUCCACUUUGACCUCGGAUCAGGUAGGGAUACCCGCUGAACUUAAGCAUAUCAAUAAGCGGAGGA